rnacentral:tRNA from 1 species
GCCUCGGUAGCGCAGUAGCCAGCGCGUCAGUCUCAUAAUCUGAAGGUCGUGAGUUCGAACCUCACCCGGGGCA